AGGAAAUAAUACCUGGUUCCCAGAAGCAAGUGAAGAAGCCAGCAAGUGCCUGUCAGGGUUGUAAGACACAUCAGCUUGUCAAAGAGGAGAUGUCAUCUUUAAAAAAAUGCUCAGUUUGUGAUGGACCAUUUUCCCCGCUGAAGUGGUGGGGGCUGAAAUGUAAAGUUGGUGGUAAACAGAAGCCAAACAAAGGUGCAAGGUGACCGUGGUCGAAUGCAGAGGUCAAUGCAGUAUUGAAGCAUUUCAAACCACACAUUGCCAAAGGUCAUCUGGCGUCUUUAAGAGAGUGUGAGCUGUGCAAGAAGUGCGAGCCAGUUCUACAAAAUAGAACAUUACAAAACAUCAGAGGUAUUGUCCGUAACAGAGGGGUAACCCUGAAGCGCAAAAUGACUCUAACUUUUAACUGAUUUCACUCGUUUACUCGGUAACA